UCCUCUGUUGUUCCCUUCUUCUUGUGCCCUCAAUCUGAUGUUGGGAAAGACUGAGGGCACAAGGAGAAGAGGACGACAGAGGA